rnacentral:rRNA from 1 species
CACGUAGGGCGCAAGCGUUGUCCGGAAUUAUUGGGCGUAAAGGGCUCGUAGGCGGUUUGUCGCGUCGGGAGUGAAAACUCAGGGCUCAACCCUGAGCGUGCUUCCGAUACGGGCAGACUAGAGGUAUGCAGGGGAGAACGGAAUUCCUGGUGUAGCGGUGGGAAUGCGCAGAUAUCAGGAGGAACACCGGUGGCGAAGGCGGUUCUCUGGGCAUUACCUGACGCUGAGGAGCGAAAGCAUGGGGAGCGAACAGG